AGGAUUAUGGCUCAGUGGUAGAGCGCUUGCCUCAUAUGUAUGAGGCACUGAGUUCGAGUCUCAGAAUUGCAU
rnacentral:tRNA from 1 species